CAGUGUGUUGCAUCUGUGCUGUCUAUCUCUGUUACACCCGAUACUCGCAGGCCCAGAGGAGAGUACCUCGCUGACGGUGAACUCCGGGUCGUUGGUUUUCC